UGCCGGACACCAGGAGACGAUGGAAGGUCUAUAGUGUUACAGCUCUGACCCAGGAAGUCCCAGGGUCUUGCCUUCCAGAAGGGUCGCGGCUCUUCCCUCCCUCAGUCCAACGAACAGGAGCACGUCACCUCCCGCAGCUCGGGGAGCUGGCCAGGAACGUGUUACAGCCCGUUUCGCUCCUGUCCGCAGCUGGGUGAGGCAGCCAGGAAAAUAUUACAGCUCUUCUCACGCCCGCCAUUCAGCAGGUCCUGACUUCUUGUGUGACAUCCAGAAGAAAGGGGUUACACAGACAGCUGGAGGGUGAGCAAAGUGGAGAAGUUCUCAGCAGAGAGGAGACUGGAGUGAGUUGCCCCUACCCGCAGGUGCCAACUGUAAUACAUCAGUAGCUGAACAGCUCAUUGCCCUCAAGUGUUCUUGCUCAUGCCUGGCUGAGUUAUUGAAGAAAUUGCUCAGAUCUCAAGCCCUUGUAGAUCACUGGUCCUGGCAGAUGUUGAGGAAAACCAAAUAACAAAGGGGAAAGAUAUGCAUACGACCCCAAAAGUGAGAGAGAGCUUGGACUAAGAACUAAGGCUAUUGUAAAG
rnacentral:lncRNA from 10 species